CGGUUUAAGGAUACGUUCGUUGGGUAGGGGAGCGUUCUGUAAGCCUGUGAAGGUGUGUCGUGAGGCAUGCUGGAGGUAUCAGAAGUGCGAAUGCUGACAUAAGUAACGAUAAAGCGGGUGAAAAGCCCGCUCGCCGGAAGACCAAGGGUUCCUGUCCAACGUUAAUCGGGGCAGGGUGAGUCGACCCCUAAGGCGAGGCCGAAAGGCGUAGUCGAUGGGAAACGGGUUAAUAUUCCCGUACUUGGUGUUACUGCGAAGGGGGGACGGAGAAGGCUAUGUUGGCCGGGCGACGGUUGUCCCGGUUUAAGCGUGUAGGUGUGUGUUCCAGGUAAAUCCGGUUCACUUUAACACUGAGGCGUGACGACGAGGCACUACGGUGCUGAAGCAACAAAUGCCCUGCUUCCAGGAAAAGCCUCUAAGCAUCAGGUAACAUCAAAUCGUACCCCAAACCGACACAGGUGGUCAGGUAGAGAAUACCAAGGCGCUUGAGAGAACUCGGGUGAAGGAACUAGGCAAAAUGGUGCCGUAACUUCGGGAGAAGGCACGCUGACACGUAGGUGAAGUGAUUUACUCAUGGAGCUGAAGUCAGUCGAAGAUACCAGCUGGCUGCAACUGUUUAUUAAAAACACAGCACUGUGCAAACACGAAAGUGGACGUAUACGGUGUGACGCCUGCCCGGUGCCGGAAGGUUAAUUGAUGGGGUCAGCGCAAGCGAAGCUCCUGAUCGAAGCCCCGGUAAACGGCGGCCGUAACUAUAACGGUCCUAAGGUAGCGAAAUUCCUUGUCGGGUAAGUUCCGACCUGCACGAAUGGCGUAAUGAUGGCCAGGCUGUCUCCACCCGAGACUCAGUGAAAUUGAACUCGCUGUGAAGAUGCAGUGUACCCGCGGCAAGACGGAAAGACCCCGUGAACCUUUACUAUAGCUUGACACUGAACAUUGAGCCUUGAUGUGUAG
rnacentral:rRNA from 1 species